CACGCAGGCGGAUUGAUAAGUCAGGGGUGAAAUCCCGGGGCUCAACCUCGGAAUUGCCUCUGAUACUGUCUGUCUUGAGUUCGGGAGAGGUUGGCGGAAUUCCUAGUGUAGAGGUGAAAUUCGUAGAUAUUAGGAAGAACACCAGUGGCGAAGGCGGCCAACUGGCCCGAUACUGACGCUCAUGUGCGAAAGCGUGGGGAGCAAACAGGAUUAGAUACCCUGGUAGUCCACGCCGUAAACUAUGGAUGCUAGCCGUUGGGGAGCUUGCUCUUCAGUGGCGCAGCUAACGUCUUAAGCAUCCCGCCUGGGGAGUACGGUCGCAAGAUUAAA
rnacentral:rRNA from 1 species